GGCCUGAGGUUGGAUGCCUCUAC
rnacentral:siRNA from 1 species